rnacentral:rRNA from 1 species
GAUGAACGCUGGCGGCGUGCCUAACACAUGCAAGUCGAACGGAGUCCAGCCUUUAAGACCUUCGGGUCAAAGAGGGGAAGGCUGAGUGGCGGACGGGUGAGUAACACGUGGGCAACCUGGCUCAUAGAGGGGGAUAACAGAGAGAAAUUUCUGUUAAUACCGCAUAAGCACACACUGCCGCAUGGCAGAGGGUGAAAAGAGAAUCGCUAUGAGAUGGACCCGCGUCUGAUUAGCCAGUUGGCAGGGUAAGAGCCUACCAAAGCGACGAUCAGUAGCCGAUCUGAGAGGAUGAACGGCCACAUUGGGACUGAGACACGGCCCAAACUCCUACGGGAGGCAGCAGUGGGGGAUAUUGCACAAUGGGGGGAACCCUGAUGCAGCGACGCCGCGUGAGUGAAGAAGUAUUUCGGUAUGUAAAGCUCUAUCAGCAGGGAAGAUAAUGACAGUACCUGAAUAAGAAGCCCCGGCUAACUACGUG